GGCCUGAUGGUCUAGGAGUAUGAUUCGUUGUUAGGGUUGAAAACUUUCGACGAGGUCCCGGGUUCAAUUCCCGGUCAGGCCC
rnacentral:tRNA from 1 species